AUUUUGCCAAAAAUUUUGGAACUAAACAAGGCCUAUAUUGCAGAAACUGCAACUUUCUCAUCAUACUACAGGUUCACAUCAUGGGCCCACCUGUUAUGUACCAUAGAUGAUGAUGGAUAUGUCCUACAAAAGUUAUAGUUUCUUAUAUCACUUGUCAAAAUAUAGCCACUUGGAUUUAUGUGUUCGACACGAAAAGUUGUGGCUUUCAGCAACGCACUUCAAAAUAAUUAAGUUUUUGAAAUUCACUAUUUCUUUAUUGGUUCAACAUUAGCACAUGUUAGGAUAUGUAACAUUAGGAUAGUUUUACAUGGAAAGAGGAGGAUUGUCAAACUUGUUUAAUAUCGUAGUAUACCAUAUUUUUGUCAUUUAGUUUCUUUUAGUACAUCAGACAAAAUUAGAAGUAUUAUGAGGCCUAAUAUGCAUUUACAUUUUUCAAUGUCCCUUCUAGCCACUUAAAUCGAUCACUCAAGUUCAUAUCACAGCAAAAUGUAUUGGAAUAUUGGAACAAGAAAGAACCUUGAGACUUGGAGUGUAUUCUGCAAUAGGAUUAACCUUGUGGGGGCAGUACCAGUAGGGCAUUUGCAAUUUUGUCUUAUCUUUUUCCCACACCUGCAUGGCGGGGCACAGAGCACAUUACCCAUAGAGACCUAGACAAGAAUAUUUUUUACCAUUAGUUGCAUUGCCAUUAUCUUACAAGGAUUCAUGAUUCAAUCAUCAAUAGUUAUAAUUUGAAAUUCAAAUUGUAUUAAAAGAAUUCAAAAUAAGUCUGGUGAAAAUGGUGAUCAUAUCAUAGGUCACCGGCACUGAACUGAGAAGCAAAAAAUCAAUGUUUUUGUUUUUGCCUAUCAUUGUACAAUCGAUUUGAUGCUAACUUUGUGAAAGUAGCUGAGUUUACUGCAAUCUGCUGCAGGAAUGCAAUCUUGUGAGAUAGGACAAUAGACAAAGACCCACCUGGGAUACAGAAAUAUCCAAUUGUCACUAGUGAGGGUGAACGAAGAAAAAAAGUAAAAAAAAAAAAUUCAGAAGUGCUUGCAUCCUUUGAGUCUUUGUGCUGAGUUGUAUUGUUAGGUGCUUGAACUAGUUUCAGGAUGAGUUUAGGCCGGCGACAUAGACUAGCUUGGGACUACCUUUUAGUUUUGUAAUUUCUAAAAUAAAUUAUUGUUAUUCCUUGCUACUAUAUUAUGUCUGUCCAAGCUCCACUUUCUUCUGACCAAGUACAUGUUCACCUUGCAACUGUUACACUCAAGCUACAACGGUAUCACAACCAUCCACCGAUUACACCGCAUGCUGCAUUGGUAAGAACAUUUGUAGGGCCGUGGUAAGACGCUUGAGAGUGUAUGACUUUACUCCUUUACCACAUCCUAGUAGCUGAUAGGAAAAUAUAUUAUGUGUUUGCUUGUUUGAUGCUAACAAUGACAGGUUACAACAUUCACCGAUAUGAAACAUCAACGAUAAAUGAGGCACGUAAUAUUAGUGCUACACCUCCUUUCGUUGGUCGUUCUAUUCUUUCUCGCCCACGUACUUAUGAUGGUAUUGAUGCUGAUGAGUACAUUGAGUGAGAAAGUAAAAUAGAUAAUAUUUUUUGCACAAUGUCGUUGUUGGUAUAAAUUAACUGCACUCCAUUUAAUUAGAUUUAAGUAGGACUAUCCACAAGCGCACAUAUAUCAUACUAGUGUCACAUUUUACCCGGAGAUUUUAAAUAUCGUAUCCACAAGGAACAGUUGUGAUGAUGACAUAGUAUAUAGACUUAACCCUACAAUUAGGCUAGAUCAUAUCAAGAAAAAGGAAAUAGCUAAUGCACUCUGGUUCUGACUCUGAUAAACUUUAUAUAAUAUCGUCUUAUCGGGCAAGUAACCUAAUAGGAGAAGAAACAGAGUAAUCUCCUACGACACUUUUGGGGGGCGCCUAUCAAUCCUAUCAACGGGAAGUGGACUAUAGAGGAAUCAACGCACCUGUCACCUACACAAACUACCACUGUCCGGCUGAUCAGGGGACAUUCACAAGUAAACCUAGCCUAGACACCACGCCUACACUACGAAAUACUACUUCAACCAAGUUAUGACCAAGAUCAAAGCACUCAAUAUGAGUUGUGAACCAAAGAGCAAAUAAGAACAAGUUGCUUACUUAAAUCAGAAGGGUAAGUACAAAAGUACCUAAGAACGUAGCUCCGGGCGAGGGAACUGAAUCCAGACGAAUAUAGCCACGAAGAAGCACCAACAGGCCAGAACUCCUCCAGAAUCUCUACUCCUCUACUUAAUCUCUCUAAUCUCUAAACAAGACUAGAUCUAGAAAAACUAGUCUCUCCUAAUUGCUACAUCUAGAUGAACUAGAUCUAGAUGAACUAGAACUAGAUCAACUAGAGGGACCCUAACCCUAAUUAUGUAGAGAAUAUGAAGCACAAGGGUGUAGAAUGCCUCUUGGGGGGAGCCUUGGGCGUCAUUAUAUAGGCCAAGGUGGAGUAGGGGGCAAGGAACCGCCACGUCAGCGAUCCGCGUCUUCAUCUUAUGGGCACCGUCGGAUCAAACCGACUUAAAAUUGACGGAGGAUACUUUGCUUGGCUUCCAAGGAUGCGUAGGAGGAAGACUCCAAAAGGCGGUGGGCAUCGAGCGAAACAGGGCGCCGACCAGCCCUAGGGUGGGGUCGGCCGGCCCCACCUUUUCUUCUCCGCGGCUCUUGUUCCUUCGGGUGUCUUCUAGACCCUUUCUAAGUCUUCUCGUGAUGUUUUCCGUUGCGGAUGAGUUUCGUGGUAAAUAUGCACUAGAAUCCCUCUUUUUAGCUAUUUUUGAAAUAAACCCUAGAAAAUACAGAAUAUGCAAAAAUCAUGGAAAUUGUCAGAUUAAACCCUAGACUAAUGUAUUUCCAUGUGUUCCCUUGUGUCUAAAGUUCUAAUAAAUAUUGGUGUUAUCGACCGUCAAUAAUUUCCCCAAGCUUACCUUUUGUCAGUCCCUUGGCAAACAACCCAAGCCUAAUUAAUAAACUUGGAUCAGGAGUUGCUACAAUACUUUCAUUUCUUUUAAGUACACUUGCUUCUAAACAUAAAUUGUCCUCUGGUCUAACUUUCAAACUUACCCAUUUUACUUUUAACCAUGGAGCUCAGCUUUUGCAUAAGUCUUGGGUAAUCGAAAGAUAGAACAAUCAAGUCAAGCACUAUGUCUCAAAUUCUUCACAGUACCAAUAUUCCAGAGUUUUGCAAGUUUUUGAAAUAAAGCUUAGAGCAUGAUUGUAUGACAUCCUCAAGUCUCUUAUUAUGUAGUAUUUAUGGAUCUCACUGAGGCAUUAAUGAGGUUAUGCCUUCCUACAACUAAGGAUAUAUAUAGUGGAGCUUAUAGGAGUGGCAAUAACAAGGAUGAGCAUACUUGCAUUUCAUAUAUUGUAAAAUCAAACAAUGGAUCCACAGAGAAUCAAGGCAUACAAUCGAAUCAAGAUGUGCGUGUGUAUGGAAUAUGGUGGAUAGGUGCAUAUAUGGUAUUUAGUGGCUAAUCCAAAUUCUACUUUUGCUCUUUGAAAAUUACUCCCUCCUUAAAACUUUUUGCAAGAAAACAUGAGCUAUCUUUAUUCUCUCUUUCUCUUUUUUAUGGGAGGCGGGCAUCGAUGUACCCAUUGUUUUACUUGUGGGACACUUGUCCAUCUUUUACUCCCACUUUUCUCCUCUUCUCUUUUUUUAAUACUUUUGCAUAGCCACAUGCAUCCUUUGAAUAUAAAUAAUUGGAGAGAUAAUGAUAAGAACUUAGAGCAAUUAAAUGGGGGCUAUCCUAUAGGGUAUAUUUUUGGGUGUUUACUCCUAGUGUAGGAGAAAACAUUUUUUUAAGGUGGAUCUGGAAAAGUGGAAAUGACUGUGCUUACAUCCCAGAGUAGGAGUAAUGCAUAUGUGGGUGGAGUGCAUAAGUGAUCUUGAUUUUAAAAGCAUGACAAGACUCUCAUAAGGUAUAUACAACAAGGGUUGACUACACUCAAUGCAAGGCAAGCACCAUGAAUGUGCAAAUGUUUUCCUAACUCUAAAUGUAUCAUAUAUGGCUUUGGUAGGAAUUUAAAAUUUAUCAUACAAGAGCUCAUCAUGUAAGAUUUUGGGUUUUUGAAAAUAAAUUUCCAGAACUUAGUAAUGCUAGGAGUAAGAUAAAUAGCAGCUUGAUUCUUCAUGUAUAAUAUCAAUUACCUAGACUUAGCUUAAACAUAUGCCUCCACAAAUUUUAGAUUCAGAGUAAAUUCUUAAAGUGCUCAUGUCUAAAAUUCAGGAGAAUUCAUGGUUGAAAACUAGGCACUUGAAAGGAAUUACUAUAGAGCAACUAUUCAUCAUCUCCAAGACAAAACUUCAAUAUUCUCUAAUUUUUAUUUGACUCAAAACUAGACUGACUAUAGACACACUCUAUGAUCACACCUUAUUAUAUAGAUAAGUAUUUUAUUUGGUUUUAUUUAUUUCUAUUGGACUCAAAAGACUCUAAAGAUAUGGACCUUUAUGUGCCCAUAUAUUUUUGGUAUUUUUUGACUAUAUAAAAUAGACUCGAUAAUCGCCUAGGUAUAGUUAUCUGAUAACUAGAGGAUGCUCCUCCCCCAAGCUAGAUGUUUGCAACAGUUGGUGUUGAUGAUCUUCACAGUGAGCUAACCGGCAGCGCUCCAAGUGGGUGCCACUAAGGUGCCACUAAUAGACUCUCUCCUUGUCAUAAUGUUGUUCCUACAUAAUUAUACUCCAAAAAGAAAACCAAAACUUGAGGCUCGAAUUUAAUAAUGGGUUAGCGGUCAGCCAGUAAGUGAUGUCAAUGUUCCUUACAUCCUUUCUUGUACCUACAGAGUUUAUAAGCAACAUCUUGAAAUUACACUCUUAUUAAGCUAAAGUUACAUUGAAUGCAUGGUUGUAAUUUGCACAUGUUGGCACUAUAAUUUUGUACCUGUGUAUUCAUAUCUAUCUAUUCAUUUUCUUCUUGUGAGUUUGUGAUGUGUUCAAAUAUAAGUUCAAUGUACCCUCCCUGCAUUGAAAUAUAAUCUAGUUCGAAUAACUAUCAUUUUGUCUUGACAUUUAUUCAACAUUUGUAGACAUUUAAACUUUAGGAUUGAUUUGCUCACCCUCUUGUAUGUGAUAGCAUUUGAAGGGCUGACAUCUAGUGCAAUGAGUAUUGCUGAAGCAAAACUGUUGUUGGAACUAUUCUCAUUUGUGUCAUUGUAACUCAUUUGUGAGUGAUUUGUGAACAUGGGAUUUUGAAAUGUAUAAUGGUUAGUCUGGUACAUGAAUUGUAUGGCUUCUUGCCAUUCCUUGAUCCCUUAUGGUGUUUUCACGUCAAAAUUAGGUACUGAGUGUCCAUCAAUGUUGUCAAUUGUUACCCGAAAACGUAGAAGAUGCAUAAGAUAUAUGUGUUGUGCCUGCAGAAGUCCUUGCAGAGAUUGUGCAAGGAAAUUGUGAUUUCUAUGUUUGUGUGUUUGUUUAAUCCAGCUAUCUAAAUAAUGCUCCUAUCUCACAUAAUCCAUGCUGGAACCCAAGUCCAGGCCUGUUCUUGGAUCAAGAACACAAUCUAUGGAUCACAAGUGUUGAAGGCCAUCUUUUUGCCCUCUCAGGAGCACAGAUUGCAGGGAUCUAACAUAUAGAAUCAGUAGAUUCGAUCCAAAUGAUGGGAAUGCUAACCUUGGAUGUUGAGGUGAGUGCUUCCUCUUUGAUCGGCAGCUUCUUCAUCCUUUCCCCUGCUCUGCUGAGUAGAGUAGAGUUUUUCUCCAAUCCCCCGCGCAGGCAGAUUGGCAGAUCUAUUUUGUUUGCUUUCCUUCUUUACCAAUUCUUAGUUGCUAUAUUUAAAUGUUAGGCUCAUGGGCCUGCGACAUGUUAAAAUAGGCCUUUUUCUCUUGUACUAUAUUGUUAUUGGACUAACUUGCACACAAUUUAAAACAACAACAGAUUACAAGUGCAAUAGAAUCUAUGUGCUAGUUAAGGAAAAACGCAUGGAUUGAAUUCGUGUGUUAUCCAGGGUACCCAAAAAACAUGUGCUGCCUUGUAAAAAAACAGAGUGUUUUUUGGGACCUGGAAUUCGUGUGUUUUGGAAGUACAAAACACUCGUGUGCUACUUGUUGCUAAACCACACCAGUUUUAACUAGAUAGGAUCAUAAACUAAUUCGUGACCUAUUAGCAUGGUGGCAAACACCUUGAUGCCCUGCUUUUUGUACAAAGGAAGUGACUCCAGCUAACAACACUCGCAGACCAGGUGGAAGGAGAGGAAAGAGGCUGUAAAAAUGUCUUCUUUUUGUCAUUCUUGAGGAUGUCACCAAUAAUAUUUGGUUAGGAGGGUUAUAUGGUGGCUUGAAUGUUCUGAGGAAGGGGUUUGCCCAUUGUCCUAAAUUAGAGACGACGAGUAUCUGCCAAUUCAACAUAAAUUUUGGUUAAGAUAUGGCCACGUUUAUGCAAGCAAUCUCAAGUUUAUAUAAUCGAUUUGAUCGGGAUAUUUUGACAAAGAUCUCUUGGAAAAUCCAUUGCAUUCAUCUCAAUUAUUGAAUGCUCCAUGGUUACAUUAUCGGUUUGUAGAUUGCAGCAACCGAUUGUGAUCUGUUUAGAACCGGCAAGAACGUGGUGGUUUCUCAAACCAAACGACUUAACAAAUACAGACAAUCCAAUGCUCUCUACACCAAAAUAGGAUUUGGAAUUUAUAAUUCUAAGAAAUACUUUGCAACUACAUCCAAACAAGAUAACUGAAUUGAAACGAAUUCCAGGUAAUCCAUUUCUUUUGGAAUCCAAUUUCUAGAAUCUGAUCCCUGGAAUGCGAUUCAAUUUGUGGAUCCAAACAGGACUUUAGUGUUGUAGUUGUUGAUAUUGUUGUACUUGUACAUCGUAUCUUCAUGAGCAAUUACUUGGAAAAUAAGUCUUUGUAUGUCGUGUGCAUUCUUGAUCUGCAAACAAUUUCCAGGAUUUAAGCUAUAUCAAACAAGCAUUGAAUUCAGGGGGGUGAUUAUUUUCUUGGAUCAUAAUAUGUGAUGAUGGAAUUCAUUUGAAUGUUCUCUAAAAAAAAGCCUCAACCACACGACAGAAAAGUUUUCCAUGCGUGCCCGUUCCAUCGUCGUGUGUGUGUGGAGCGUCGCCCUAAACCGCCAUGUGUGCAGAGCAUCGUUCUACCAAGUCUGACAACAAGCAUAUCUAUCUUGCAAAAAUCACCAUGAAGAGCACGGGCUGACUUAAAUUAUGGUGAUUUUAUUUUAUUUUCCUUGUUGUAACGUACGGAUAUUAUACUAGUUAUUAAAAAAAAGUUAUGAGUUUAGGACACAAUGUUCAGCAUCCAUGGCCGUCAUCGAGGAGCUAAGCUAGCUAGCUAGCUCUUGAUGGUGCCGUAAUAUGGGUGGUCGUGCUUGGGGUAGGUACAGCCGAGGCCAAACGGCAGCCAUCCGCCAUAGCCCCACCAGUUCUUGCUACACUCCUUGAUGGCGAGGUCGCCGAGCACCCUCCUCCCGGCACGCGUGACGAGGACGACCUCCCUGUUACUCUCGAACACGAUCCUGCACUGCCCGUCGCCGCCGACCUCCCUGCACGACCACGCCUCCGGCCACUGCUCGUCCCACACCACCACACCGGUCAUCUUGUUGCCAUCGCAGCCCCACUCGCAGGACACCUUCGGGCUUGUCCGCUCCAGGUUGAAGUACCGCGGCGGCGGCGCCGGGUCGAAGACGCUGGCGUAGCUCUCGUACCGUCGGUCGCCGGAGGCCAUGUAGUACGCCCUCUGGUCGCCGUCGCAGUCUAGGUACAUCUCGACGCCCAUGCGGUUCUCGAUGUUGCAGUCGAACAUGGUCAGGUUCGCCGCCGGGUUGUUCACGCGGGAGCACGGCCACUUGCGGCCGUUCUUGUCCGGGAUGAAGCAGUCCUUGGUGGCGUCGUUGAUCGUUGCUACUUCCAGUCUGGGCUUGAGGUUGACUAGUGGGUGUGGAUGUGGUCCAGAGGCCGCCACCGGGACUGGGAGAAGAGCAAGGAUGAUGGCGGCAGCGGCGGCGAUCAGAGCGGCGCGCAGCCGCUGAUGGAUUCCGGCGGCCUGUGAAGUUUUGCUCAUCUUCGAUUUUGGUGUUAAUUGGGCGGCCUUGCAGUACUGUUCCAUUUCCACGUCGUCUUUGCGCAUUUAUUGCUUCCUCGUAAGCUAAAAAGGGCAAUGUGUCAUUGAGGUUACACAAUAAAAUUAAUGCUUAUUAGCGUUCAAGUUCAACUUACGUUUACCUUGCACUAACCUCUAGUUCUCCUUUUCCGCGUAAAAGAACUUAUUACGUUUAACCUUGUACUAACGUCUAGUACUUUUUCUGUCCAAAAGGAAUAGAAUUCUAGUUUUUUCAAAGUCAAAUUAUAUCCGUCUUGACAAUAUUAUAGAAUAAUAUCAACCUUAAUUAUGUUUAUGACACCAAAUUGAUAGAUAUACUACAAAAUAUAUGGUGAAUAUAAUAAUUCUUAGUACCGUAAAUAUUAGUACUUUUAUAAUAACUUGCUCACUAGCUUUUAAGAUGUUUUGGUUUAGAAUAAAACUAGAAUUGUAUUGUUUACUCUCUUCGUUCUAAACUAUAAGUCACUUUGACUUUUUUGAUAUAUAUAUAUUUUUCUAUUCAUCUAGAUAUAAUAUAUAUAUGUCUAGAUACAUAGCAAAUUCAAUGUAUUAAAAAAAAUUAAAGCGACUUAUAAUUUGGAAUGGAGAGAGUAAAAUAGAAGGAGUAUUAUGUAGGGUUUCUAAGUGAUAAGAAUGGCAUAGAGGAGAGAGAGAGAGAGAGAACUCAUAUUGAAUACAUGUCGAUAUCAACUUAGUUAUAGAUUUUUUAGGUUUAUGCUUGUUAAAUCUAUUCUUUAUGUAUAAUUAAGUUAUAUAUAAUCCAAUGAGUAUGAAAUUUUUUCUAUAGUUCAAGUAUACAAUAAUUAGCCCACCAUAAAAAUUUCAGCACAAUUAUACCAUAGAAACUGUAACUACAAAUUAUUCCAAUUAAUUACCAAAAAGAAUAAAUCUAAAGCUAUAGCAAAAAUUUUAUAUUAAAGCAUAUCGUAUUUUAUUUUCAAUGUGUAGAUAUGCCACGCGGAGUCCAACAAAAUUAAGUUUUUCAUUUUAUGAUUUUCUAUGAUUUAUAAUUAUUUUUUAAAGAUUCAGUGCAAAUAAGUAAAAAAAGAUAAAGAUAAAACUACCAUUACUAUAACAAAACAUUCAACGGUGAUCAUAGAUCACCAGCACUAAACUUGAGAAGCAAACAUUCAAUAUUAUUGUUUUUGCCUAUCAUUAUACAAUCGAUUUGAUGCUAACUUUGUGAAAGUAGCUGAGUUUACUGCAAUCU
rnacentral:lncRNA from 1 species